GAAGAGGCUUGUGGUUAAUAAAAGGACAGGCAGGCGUGAGACAAGAGCUCCAAGAAGGUUACGGUCCCUGGAGUUCAUGUCCCGAAUGCAACUGUGAGUGACGGGAAACGCAAGGGCUGGAUAAGUCUCCCUCUAAUGUCAGACCUUACCCAUUUCUUCUUAUAUCGAUAUCUCCGCGGGACCGGCGUGAAGUCCACGAGCUUCAGCAGCUUCCGAACACAUCUUAAGACGGGCGCAGCCAUGUCAACUAACAACGCCAAUAAUUCCGACUGAAACUGCAGCUGCGCUCUCGCGGGUUCCGGGAAGGAUUGAGGGCUGCUUAGAAUAUCAGCGGCAGACAGGGCGGGGCUAGGCUUGCGGCGCCCCCAGGGCUCCGCCUACCUCCACACCCCACCCACCAGAAUCCUCGGGGCGCACACGAAGCGGUGGCUGUGCUAGAGCAUCUAAAGGAGCUCCUAGGAAGUUGCAGGGAAGGCCUUCUGGGCUCAACCUGCAUGGAGAAAGCUGCCGAGGUAGAACGAAAUUAGAGCAGACUAUAGACAGAAGCGGAAUUGCUAGGAAGCCAUAGAAGCCAGUUUCAAGAUCUUCCUUUUAGACGGUUCUUUUCAAGACUCGGUACCUAAUUUUGUGUUCUUUCUGAGACUAUCAAAUUGACUACGCCGCUUAGGAUCCAAGAAGAAAGGGGGUGAUCACUAUUUUUAGAAAUGAUCGUUUGGCUGAGCAGAGUGGCAUAUGUCUUUAUUCCAGCACUUGGAAGGCAGAAGCAGACGGAUCUCUGUGAGUUCCAGGCCAAGCUUGGUUUUCAUAGCUACAGGUCAGACAGCUUUUCUGUAACCUUACAUUUAUUCUUAUAAUGUAUUGCCACCCACCAUAUAGUAUAAUCAGCUAAGUCGUAAUUUUUUAAAAAUGUUAAGUAUGUCAAACUGAUCUCUGGAAGUUGUGGGGCAGCCAACGUCUUUGAAUUAGUGAGCUCCAGAUUCCAUGAGACCAUCUGAAGACGUGUGGUGUUGACCUGCAGCUGCCAUUCAUAGACCAUAUGCACAUAUGCAUGAACAUAUACAAACAUAUAACACACUCUUUUCUUUUCCUUUUGAUUUUUGAGACAAGAUCUCACUACAUAGUCGUGGCUGGCCUAUAACUCUCUAUGUACACCAGGCUAGCCUGGAAAUUAUACCUGCUUGCUUCCGUCUCCCAAGGGCUGGGAUUAAAAGGGUGUGCCCAAACUGUAACUCAUACAAAUAUAGAAUGAGCACCUGCCAAAAAUUGUACUCAUCAUCCAAGUCACAUACGUAUCUGUCAUUAUCUUUUUUUUUUUUUUUUUUUUUUUUUUUUGGUUUUUCGAGACAGGAUUUCUCUGUAUAGCCUUGGCUGUCCUGGAACUCACUUUAUAGACCAGGCUAGCCUCGAACUCAGAAAUCUGCCUGCCUCUGCCUCCCAAGCGCUGGGAUUAAAGGCAUGCGCCACCACCGACUGGCUAUCUGUCAUUAUCUUAAACAAUAAAAGUAAAAUAAGACUUAAA
rnacentral:lncRNA from 1 species